AUUAAAAAAAAAAAAAAAAACCCUUUUAGAUGCUGUUUAAAUUAGAAUCAAAUUUUAAGGGUUUAUUUUUGAGAUAGUAUUUUAUCAAUUGCUCUUCAAAUAACAAUGCCAAAAAGAUUAAUUGUCACCACCAAAUAAAAAAAAAAAGUAAUUUACUCUGUUUUCCUCAAAAUACUUUUCGCAAGUUAUUUUCAAUGGAACAUGUGAGCCUUGCUGAGUCUGACAAGACUUGACUUUGAUUUUUAGCUUUUAGAUUGUUGUUUCUACAUAGUCGCACACUGCUACCAAUUGAGCAUACAGAAAACUGCACCAACUAGUAAUUAUCAUGAUCGCUUGGCAGUGAGCUGAUGAAAAUUUUAAAACUAAAGCACUUACAAAUUUUGGUGCAAUUUUUUUAGGCUUUUGACUUUCAUUUUCUUCUCAUGGAACAAAUUCAUCAUUUUGUUCUUGGUGCAUCAUUCAAAUUUAAGAUACAAAUUGCAUAGAGAUGCUAGUCUAUAUUAUGUUAAAAAUAAAAAAAAUAAACAUAUCAUUUUAUAAAAUUUCUUGUAUAAGUAUGACUAUAAAUAAAAAGAUAACACCUAAAUAACAUCUUAUUCAUCGACUAAAUACAAAUUUAAAUACUUAAAUAUUAACAUAUCAAUAUGAUUGAUAUUUUUAUAAAAUUCUAAAUCGGUCGGGUUAUGGGUUAUUGGGUCAAUAGGUCACCAGUUUAACUACUGGGUCACCUGGUUUUUUCUAGGUCAACUCCUUGUCCGGUUCAAUGAGAGAAUUAGCCCGAUUUUAUGUCGAAGUCACCGGUUCACUGAGUCAACCCGUCAGGUCGAUCCAAGUUUUAUAACAAUGGCAGGAGGUUCUAUGCAGAUUACAGAGCUUUGAAUAAGGAGACAAUCCCGAAUAAAUAUCCAAUUCCUUUAAUACAAGAGCUGGAUGAAUUAUAUGGAAAUCAAUAUUUCUCUAAACUGAACCUAAAGUCAAGAUACCACCAGAUUUAAGUAGUAGAAGCUAAUAUUUCCAAAAAUGGCCUUUCAGACUCGCUCGAGGAAUUAUGAGUUUGUUGUUAUGCCAUUUGGGUUAACAAACACACCAACCACCUUCCAAGUUACUAUGAACGACUUUGACCAUAUCUUCCCCGCUUUGU
rnacentral:misc_RNA from 1 species